rnacentral:rRNA from 1 species
UACAGAGGGUGCGAGCGUUGUUCGGAAUUAUUGGGCGUAAAGCGCUUGUAGGCGGCCUGUUAAGUUCCGUGUGAAAUCCCCAGGCUUAACCUGGGAAGUGCGCGGAAAACUGGCGGGCUUGAGUGCCGGAGAGGGUCGCGGAAUUCCCGGUGUAGAGGUGAAAUUCGUAGAUAUCGGGAGGAACACCAGUGGCGAAGGCGGCGACCUGGACGGACACUGACGCUGAGACGCGAAAGCGUGGGGAGCAAAC